rnacentral:rRNA from 1 species
UUAGGAAUUUUGGGCAAUGGCCGAAAGGCUGACCCAGCAACGCCGCGUGGGUGACGAAGGCCCUCGGGUCGUAAAGCCCUUUUCCCCGGGACGAUCGUGACGGUACCGGGGGAAUAAGCCUCGGCUAACUACGUGCCAGCAGCCGCGGUAAUACGUAGGAGGCGAGCGUUGCCCGGAUUCAUUGGGCGUAAAGGGCGCGCAGGCGGCCCGGAUCGCCCCGCGUGAAAGCCCCCGGCUCAACCGGGGAAGGUCGCGGGGGACGGCCGGGCUCGAGCCAGGCAGGGGGAAGCGGAAUUCCCGGUGUAGUGGUGGAAUGCGUAGAGAUCGGGAGGAACACCAGCGGCGAAGGCGGCUUCCUGGGCCUGGGCUGACGCUGAGGCGCGAAAGCGUGGGGAGCGAUCCGG